rnacentral:rRNA from 1 species
GACGAACGCUGGCGGCGUGCUUAACACAUGCAAGUCGAACGGUAAGGCCCUUCGGGGUACACGAGUGGCGAACGGGUGAGUAACACGUGGGUGAUCUGCCCUGCACUUCGGGAUAAGCCUGGGAAACUGGGUCUAAUACCGGAUAGGACUCCUGGCUUCAUGGUUGGGGGUGGAAAGCUUUUGCGGUGUGGGAUGGGCCCGCGGCCUAUCAGCUUGUUGGUGGGGUAAUGGCCUACCAAGGCGACGACGGGUAGCCGGCCUGAGAGGGUGACCGGUCACACUGGGACUGAGAUACGGCCCAGCCUCCUACGGGAGGCAGCAGUGGGGAAUAUUGCACAAUGGGCGCAAGCCUGAUGCAGCGACGCCGCGUGAGGGAUGACGGCCUUCGGGUUGUAAACCUCUUUCAGCUAUGACGAAGCGCAAGUGACGGUAGCAGCAGAAGAAGGACCGGCCAACUACGUGCCAGCCGCCGCAGUAA